rnacentral:rRNA from 1 species
AGCAGCCGCGGUAAUUCCAGCUCCAAUAGCGUAUAUUAAAGUUGUUGCAGUUAAAAAGCUCGUAGUUGAAUUUCGGGAUCAAUAUGUCGGUCGUGCCUUCGGUACGUACUGGCAUCAUUGGUUUCUCCCUUCUGACAAGCCAUGAUGUCAUUAAUUUGGUGUUAUGGGGAGUUAGGACUGUUACUUUGAAAAAAUUAGAGUGUUUAAAGCAGGCAUUAGCUUGAAUACAUUAGCAUGGAAUAAUGAAAUAGGACGUUUGACCCUAUUUUGUUGGUUUCUAGGAUCGACGUAAUGAUUAAUAGGGAUAGUUGGGGGCAUUAGUAUUCAAUUGUCAGAGGUGAAAUUCUUGGAUUUAUUGAAGACUAACUACUGCGAAAGCAUUUGCCAAGGAUGUUUUCAUUAAUCAAGAACGAAAGUUAGGGGAUCGAAGACGAUCAGAUACCGUCGUAG